rnacentral:lncRNA from 1 species
ACCUUACUCAUGUAUCGAUUAUUACCGAUAUACACGGCAAAGUUAUUCAAUUCUGAAAUUCUGGUCAUACGCGUGCAGAGCUGAAAUUCUGUAAUUCUGGUCAUAUACUAUAAAAACACAUUCACAAUAGUGCAGAGCGGGUAAAAUCAUCAUAAUUGAUCAUACACUUUGAAAACACAUUCACAACAGUGCAGAGCGGGUA